rnacentral:sRNA from 1 species
GGGGCUGUCUAGGUUUUGACAUUUAAAUUAAGGUAAAAAAUGAUACAGGUCGAAGUUUGUAAUCUUCGUAUAAAAUUACACUUUAAAAAUAACUGCAAAUAAUAUUAUUUCAUUUAAUCGUCAAAAAGUGGACACUACGUUACGUCUUGUAGCGGCAUAAAGAUUAUACACAAAAUAAGUAAGUAAAAUCACUUAGUUAUAAUCAUAUUUUAGGUCAAACUAUAAUUUAUUCCCUAAAACUAGACUUUUGUCAGUUUUUAGUUUAGAGUUUUAUUGUUUCUUUUUUGUUUACAUUAUUGUAAACUAAGCCUGUGAACGAAAGGAU